CCCUUAGAUGUUCUGGGCUGCACGCGCGCUACACUGAUGCGCUCAACGAGUUUACGACCUUGCCCGGAAGGGUUGGGUAAUCUUUUUAAAACGCAUCGUGAUGGGGAUAGAUUAUUGCAAUUAUUAAUCUUUAACGAGGAAUUCCUAGUAAGCGCGAGUCAUCAGCUCGUGCUGAUUACGUCCCUGCCCUUUGUACACACCGCCCGUCGCUCCUACCGAUUGAGUGUUCCGGUGAAUAAUUCGGACUGCAGCAGUGUUCAGUUCCUGAACGUUGCAGCGGAAAGUUUAGUGAACCUUAUCACUUAGAGGAAGGAGAAGUCGUAACA
rnacentral:rRNA from 1 species